AUCGUUAACGAGCGAGACCUUAACCUGCUAAAUAGCCCGGCUAGCUUUGGCUGGUCGCUGGCUUCUUAGAGGGACUAUCGGCUCAAGCCGAUGGAAGUUUGAGGCACUAACAGGUCUGUGAUGCCCUUAGAUGUUCUGGGCCGCACGCGCGCUACACUGACAGAGCCAGCGAGUUCUUUUCCUUGGCCGGAAGGCCUGGGUAAUCUUGUGAAACUCUGUCGUGAUGGGGAUAGAGCAUUGCAAUUAUUGCUCUUCAACGAGGAAUUCCUAGUAAGCGUGAGUCAUCAGCUCGCGUUGAUUACGUCCCUGCCCUUUGUACACACCGCCCGUCGCUAAUACCGAUUGAAUGGCUUA
rnacentral:rRNA from 1 species